GGAGACCACUGUGAAGUCCUGUGGAAUGACAAGACUAUCAAAUUUCCUGUGGACUAGAUUAUGACAGAGAAUUGGAGAUUCCAUAUAGCCCUGGGACAGGACUCUUGUAUACUGCUUGUUCUUCUAGAUAAAACUCCAAUACAGAUUUCAGCAUGUCAGGACCUUCUUUUGGAAUUCAUUGGGGGUCACUGCUGUAGUCCCAUAUUGACCUGAAUGAAGAGAGGCUGGCCUACAGUAUAAAUCCCAGAAGAGGAGAAAAGGAGACCCAAGGAGAAGCACCUGCUGCAGAGCUCCAGGUCCUACUCCAGGGAUGUGCGAUGCCCAGGGUGCCACACAGUCCCUGCUCUCUUCAGUUGUGCACAAAUGGUAGUUUUGUGUGCUGGCUAUUUCAGUGUCCUCUGCCAGCCUACAGGAGGAAAAACAAAGCUAACAGAAGGGUACACACACACACACACACACACAUAUAGAUAUAUACACACAUAAAUAAAAAUAUAUAAAUAAAUAAUCCAUAAAUAUAAAAACAAAUACAUGGACUUAGUCCCAUUUCUGGCACAAAGCUCCCCAAACCCUUCAAAUUUCCUCAGUGAUAAAAGAAAUAGACGGA